GAUUCCUCCAGGUACCAAUGUGAGUCUGUGGGCUGGGAUGGAGCCAAACACGGACCAUUGGUGACGACACCUUAGGCAGGAGAUUCUCAGCCUGCAUGCGCAUCCAUCUGCCACUUGGAUCCCUCCUCAGCCAGCUCCUGGAUCUCUUGACUUCCCAGUGAUCAGAAUUUGUCUCUCCGUGUGUCCUGCCCACAGUCCAGGCAGAGAGCCAGACACUUGGCCAUGGAUACUGGCAG
rnacentral:lncRNA from 1 species